GUGUGUAACAACUCACCUGCCGAAUGGAUUAGCCCUGAAAAUGGAUGGCGCUGAAGCGGGCAGCCGACACUGUGCCGUCUGGGCAAAAAAUAAUCAAAAAAAACAUGAUCCAGAUGAGUAGGAGGAAUGUGGCGGUCGUAUUGAAGCGUGUGCGCAAGCAUGCGUGAAACGUCCGCUAGUACAGAUCUUGGUGGUAGUAGCAAAUAUUCAAAUGAGAACCUUGAAGGGCGAAGCGGGGAAGGGUUCCACGCGAACAUUGAUUGGGCGUGGGUGAGUCGUUCCUAAGCCGUGUGGUAAUGGGUAGAGAAACGGCGAAAGGGAAGCAGGUUGAUAUUCCUGCACACGGAUGUGGAUAUGCGGUGACGCACACUGGGGCGGUGAAGUCGUCGAUUGCACUGGGCAGAGAUUUCUUUUCUGUUUGACGGAGCCUGACUGUACGCUAUGGAAUCCGCUUGUCGGGAGAAAUAGGUAUGUCACGGCAAAGCGCCGGGUUUUUUUUCUGGCGUCCAGUUUGUGAUUGGCGGACCUUGAAAAACUGUCUGCUGGCAAAACACUCGUGUUUUGUGUGAAAAAUUCCACGCCGUAACGUACCGAUAACCGCAUCAGGUCCCCAAGGUGAACAGCCUCUGCUCGAUAUGAAAAAUGCAGGUGAGGGAAGUCGGCAAAUUGGACCCGUAACUUUGGGAAAAGGGUUGGCUCUAGUGCUGCGUAGGAGUGGUCACUGGUUGUAGCUGCGGAUUGUGGUGCUUUGUUCCAUUGUGAGGGCCUGCGGGCGGAAAAUCUCGGUUUUUCGCUCGCGCUUUUGCGAUGGAAUGAGGCGCUGUUUUUCGCGGUUCCUGGGGACGCCUACAGCAUGCAGCAAACUAGAACUGUAACGGACAAAGGGAAUCCGACUGUUUAA
rnacentral:rRNA from 1 species